rnacentral:rRNA from 1 species
CCAGACUCCUACGGGAGGCAGCAGUCGGGAAUAUUGCGCAAUGGAGGAAACUCUGACGCAGUGACGCCGCGUGCAGGAAGAAGGUUUUCGGAUUGUAAACUGCUUUAGACAGGGAAGAAACAAGACAGUACCUGUAGAAUAAGCUCCGGCUAACUACGUGCCAGCAGCCGCGGUAAUACGUAGGGAGCAAGCGUUAUCCGGAUUUAUUGGGUGUAAAGGGUGCGUAGACGGAGAAGCAAGUUAGUUGUGAAAUCCCUCGGCUUAACUGAGGAACUGCAACUAAAACUACUUCCCUUGAGUGCUGGAGAGGAAAGUGGAAUUCCUAGUGUAGCGGUGAAAUGCGUAGAUAUUAGGAGGAACACCAGUGGCGAAGGCGACUUUCUGGACAGUAACUGACGUUGAGGCACGAAAGUGUGGGGAGCAAACAGGAUUAGAUACCCUUGUAC